rnacentral:rRNA from 1 species
GAUGAACGCUGGCGGCGUGCCUAAUACAUGCAAGUCGAGCGAACGGACGAGACGCUUGCUUCUCUGAUGUUAGCGGCGGACGGGUGAGUAACACGUGGAUAACCUACCUAUAAGACUGGUAUAACUUCGGGAAACCGGAGCUAAUACCGGAUGAUCUUUUGAACCGCAUGGUUCAAAAGUGAAAGACGGUCUUGCUGUCACUUAUAGAUGGAUCCGCGCUGCAUUAGCUAGUUGGUAAGUUAACGGCUUACCAAGGCAACGAUGCAUAGACGACCUGAGAGGGGGAUAGGCCACACUGGAGCUGAGACACGGUCCAGACGCCUACGGGAGGCAGCAGUAGGGAAUCUUCCGCAAUGGGCGAGAGCAUGACGGAGCAACGCCACGUGAGUGAUGAAGGUCUUCGGAUCGUAAAACUCUGUUACUGGGGAAGAACAUAUGUGUAAGUAACUGUGCACAGCUUGACGGUACCUAGUCAGAAAGCCACGGCUAACUACGUG